rnacentral:rRNA from 1 species
GAUGAACGCUAGCGGCAGGCUUAAUACAUGCAAGUCGUGGGGCAGCAGGACUGUAGCAAUACAGUUGCUGGCGACCGGCAAACGUGUGCGGAACACGUACGCAACUUACCCUGAACUGGGGGAUAGCCCGGGGAAACCCGGAUUAAUACCCCGUAAUAUAAUGGAGUGGCAUCACUUUAUUAUUAAAGCUCCGGCGGUUCGGGAUGGGCGUGCGGCUGAUUAGGUAGUUGGUUGAGGUAACGGCUCACCAAGACUACGAUCAGUACCUGGUGUGAGAGCACGACCAGUCGAACGGGCACUGGGACACGGGCCCGACGGCAACGAGCAGCAGCAGUAAGGAGUAUUGGGCCGUGGAGGCAACUCUGACCCAGCCAUGCCGCGUGGAGGAUGAAGGCACUCUGAGUUGUAAAAUUCUUUUAUAGGGGACGAAACCUGUGUAUUCUUACGCAGUUGCCGGUACCCUAGAAAUAAGCACCGCCUAACUCCGU